UGGGCUGGGCUGGGCUGGGCUGGAGUUAGGCAGUGAGCUGUGCCUGACAAACCAUUCUGUUGGAUAAAGAUCUGAACGGGAAAAGCCCAGUCCAGUCUCUUGUCCCUCAGCAACCCCUUCCUGGCAAGCACUUUAAAGACCCUGAGACCAAUGACUCUGAACUGAGUCUGAAGGCCAGGGCAGCUCGGAGUCAAAUGGAGCUCAGACCACCCAAGACCACACCCAGAGCAUCCCUGCUGGGGCUACAGAAAAUAAUACAAGAUCUGUGGCAAGGAACAGGAAACGACCCUCACUAAACUUGUCCGGCCCCUUUUAGCUGAAGGUAGAAGGUUCCUUCUCGGCAACAUCACAAGUUCGGGACCAACCAGGGCUAUAUGAGAUGUCAACUCAAAAAAUCAAAAUACAUACAUACAUACAUACAUACAUACAUACAUACAUACAUACAUACAUACAUAGUGAGUUUUGGGCCAGACAGGACUAUAUAUAAAGAUCUUGUCUUAAAAAUAACAAACAAAACCAAAAAACAGAAAUACUGACAGAAAACCACUGUUCAAGCUGGAGCAGACAAGCCCAACAGCCAGACAGGAAGAGAAAAGAACAUGGGAAAAACACACCAAACACCCCUUCACUCCUCCACUAGAAGGCAGGGCUCUUCUGUGAGGGCAGAGAGGACAUGCAAGCUGGGAAUGCCCCGGGCCUUGGUAGAGUAAUCCUCAUUGUUUACUAGUCCAGGCCAAAAAGGAAAAGCCCCUAAGAACAUGAGCAGAACAACCAGAGAGACCAGGAGCUGUGCCUAGCGAAAGUGUUUGAAAACUCUGACACCUCCUCCUGGAGUCAGACGUCACGGAAGGGUCUUGAGGACAAAUAAGAAACAGGCUAGGCCCACAGGGUCGGCAUUCAUCUCGAUGGGCAGACACCAGCUCGAACAGUCCCCAACACCACAGAAACCGUGUGAACACAUGCAAUCCCAGCACUGGGAGGCGGAGGAUCAGAAGUUCAAAGUCGCCCUGAGCCGGGUUCCAGGGGCUGUGAUAGACUAUUCUCAAAAGGGAGAGAGCUGAGAGGGAGAGAGGGCAAAACCAACAAUCGAGUUCCUAGACAGGAACUCAUUAAACAGGGUGGGGAGCCAGGCAGACUUGAAGCAUGAGGUAGGGAGGCACGUCACCAGGUCCUGGUCCAUUCUCUGCACCUUCUUUGGUUUCUAGCCGUCAGGUUCAGAUCCUCCUGUGACCUGCCACCUCCGUCGUGCUGGGAACCGUAGUCAGGUUGCCAUGACUACAGAAAAGCGCAAUAGCCACCUUACUGCAAUGUCAACGAAACUUUCCCCUAAAGGAGUGUUAGUCUUCUGCAUCUAAGCUUUGGUGAGUAAACUUCUGGAGGACCCUACUGGCUGUUGCAUGCUCCAAACCAGAUGAUGUCCUCAGACCUCCAGAUCUGCCUCCUCAGCCUGACGCAGGACAUGCAUUUGGUUACCCUGCAGAACUAAAACCCCACACCCUUCAAGUCGGAAGGGCAUCCAAACCUCGUAAACUCUACUGUGUAACUCAGAGCUGAUGGAGAGUUGCCAGUGCAGUCCCUGCAAUUCCUUUGUUUUGAGUUGGUUUUGUUUUGCUUUUGUUUUCCCACACACUCCUGUAGCCAAUCCUGGCUUUGAAUUCCUAACUCUCGCCUCUAGCUCCCACAUGCUGGGGUUAUAAGCAUGGGACACUGUUAUGGUUGGUGUGGCCAAUUUGACAGAAUCUAAGAUUGCCUGGAAGAUGAGCCUCCAAGUGUAUCUAUGUAGGGGAUGAUCAAUGAUCUGGACUGCUUUAUUUAGAGUGGGAAAAUCUGCCCACUAUGGGUGGUACAAUUCCUUCUGCCCACUAUAGGUGGUACAAUUCCUUCUGCCCACUAUGGGUAGUACAAUUCCUUCUGCCCACUAUGGGUAGUACAAUUCCUUCUGCCCACUAUGGGUAGUACAAUUCCUUCUGCCCACUAUGGGUAGUACAAUUCCUUCUGCCCACUAUGGGUGGUACAAUUCCUUCUGCCCACUAUGGGUGGUACAAUUCCUUCUGCCUACUAUGGGUGGUACAGUUCCUCCUACAAAGGAUCCUGGACUGAAUAAAAGGAUAAAAUGAUCUAAGCAAGGUUCACUCUUCCUCCCUCCCUCCCUCCCUCCCUCUCCUUCCUCCCCUCCUUCUCCCCCUCUUCCUCACACUGGUUCUUGGCUGCCAAGAUGAUGUGACCAACUCUUUCAAGUUCCUGCUGCCUUAAAUUAGCUUCCAUGAUGGACUGUACCUUGAACUGUGAACCUUUCACAGUCAUUUGAACCUUUCCUCCCUAGAGUUUUUUGUGUCACAGUAUUUAAUCACACGAACAAGAAAAUAAACUAAGAAAGAUACCGUGCGUAAAUUUAACUUUCAUGAAACGGGGUCUUUCUCUGCAGCACAAAGAGCCCUUGAAUUCCAGGUCCUCUUGCCUCAUCCUCUCAAGUACUAGAAUCAUAUGUGUAUAGCAUCCCUGGCUUAAAGCAGUGUUUUAUUGUUUGCUAUUUAUUUGGAGGGGUGUGUGGUUGUGUGUGUGUGUGUGUGUGUGUGUGAAUGUGUAUGUGUGCACACAUACAUACACCACAGCAUGCAUAGAGAUCAGAGCUCAAACUAUGGGAAUCUGUUUUCUCCUUCUAUCCUGUGGGUUUAGGAGCUCAAACUCAGGUCCAGACCAGGCUUGGUAUCAAGCACCUUUAAACAUUGAAUUAUCUCACCGGACUCCAAAAACCCUUUUAAAAAGGCUUCUGAGAAAGAAUAGAUAGCACGUCUUGACGUGUUCACAUUUGGAAAAAGUCCAGAACUGCCUAGAUUGUAGCAGCUCAAAAAAUUAGAAACUGAGAGGCCUGAGGUCAAUGAGAUAGGCCUGAACGGAAUUCAUUCCACACCGAGUUUAACUGACUAUUUAACCCUGCACAUGUGCACCCGCUCAGGGGAAACUAGAGGGUAUUGCCAUGACGACAUCUGCACGUUCUCUGAACCAAAUUAUGGAAGCAGCCGAGGGGCAGAAUGGAGCUCAGACUGUAUAGUGCUUACCGAGCACGCACAAAGUCCUGGAUUUGCUGCCAGCAAGGAAAAACGUCAGAUGUGGUGAUGCAUGCCUGUAAUCCCAGGACGGGGGACGUUGAGGCAGGAGGAUCAGGGAGUACAAAAUCAGCCCGGGGUACAUGAGAGACGCUGACUUAGAAAGAAAAGGAACAGAAAACAGAGAAGACACGUUCUAGAUAAGACAAGAAGAACGAGGCCUCCUGUUAAGAUGGUGUCAAUGUAAGCUGCUCAAAACAGGACAACCCUUGUUAGAAUGGCCGCUAUGACGGAGUAUACAAAGCAAUUCAAAAUGGAUGAAAGUUUGAAUGCUAGACCUGAAACUGAAACUACUCAAAGGAACCAGAGGAGGCCUGAGCACAUUGGGACUGGCAAGAACUUCUGGAUGUCAUCCUAGCUUACUCUGCAAAGUAAGACACCGCCUCAGAGGAGAGUUUCAAUUGAGGAGAAUGCCCAGAUCAGAUUGGCCUGCCCACAGAUUGGGCAUGACUGUGGGAUUGUCUUGACUAUUAAUUGAGGGGGGCCCAGCCCACUGUGGGAGGCACCAUUCCUUGGUCAGGACUUCCUGGCUUGUAUGAGAAAGCUAGCUAACAAGCAUGUGUCAGCAAGCUAGCCAGUAAGCCGUCUCUCAUUCAAGUUCUUUCUUGAGCUCCUGCCCUGACUUCCCUCUCUAACCUGUAAGUCUUUCCUCCUCUAAACUACUUUUGAUCAGAAGGUUUUAUCCCGACAACAAAAAGUUAACCAGGAAAAGACUGGAUGCUGAUAAUAUAGAAAAAGGCAAAAUGAGACGCAUGGAUGGGGUUGGUGAGAUGGAUGGCUCUCUAGUUAGCUCAGAAGUUAAAGAACGCUGUUAUACACAUGCGGUUCUUGCAGACCAGAGUUCUGUUCUCAGCACCCAUGUCUGGCAGUUCACAAUUACCUGUAACUCUAGCUACAGGAAAUCAGAUGCCCUCUUCUGGCCAUCUGUGCAAACACAUACAGGUACGCAUACAGACAGAAACAGAAAUGAAAUAAUCUUUAAAGAAAGAAAAGAAUGAGACCUUUCAAAGUAUAAGGCUCUGCUAGACUUGUAGGGAAGGUAGAGACUAUAGGUUGCAUUGUGGUGUGUGCAGAAGAAUCAGGGUAAAAACUGACUGCAGGCGAGAGCCUGGGAGUUCACCAAGGACAGCCCACAGUUCAGAGAGUAAGAAGAGAAAGUCAGCAAAGAACAGAGCUGCCCAAGGACCUGAGGACUGGCAGUCAAGGUAGGAAGCACGAACCAACCGGCCACUUCCCCCAGAUAUGAGACAUCCAAGGGAUGCAAAUGUGAAAAACAGGGCAGUUGGGGCACACAAGGAUGUGCUUGGGCAGUGGGCCCUACAAGAAGUAGCCCCCUGAAUGGCUAGGUGCUGACCUCAUCAGUCAAGAAUCAUUUUGUAGUCUGAUAGACCUGAGUCCAAGCCCAGUUUGUGGGUCAGCUUAUGGACUGACGACCCACAUGAGUCUGGGACCCUGCAGCUCCAGUGCACAGCUGUACCCCUACAGAAGGGUAAUGAAUGCUGUCUAUGGAGUGUGAAGACAGGUCUGCCUGUACAGAUCUCGUGCUGUGGGUGCCUCCCCUACACCUGCCAGCUGGAGCAAUAGCCACCACAGGAGACUCUUGGGAGGGUGGGAACCUGCCCAUACAAAGCUAAGUAGGGCAACAAAGGUCCCUGGGGUGUGCCAAAGGGAUGUACUGAAGUGGACACAGUUCUGGCGGAAUCUGACCCUUGUUCACCACAGGCAACACUAGCACGCGUCACCUGCCCCUGGCCCUGGUUCAUCCAUCUGACACACCCAGAGAAGGGGCUCCAAAACUGUCUUUCCCUUCCUAUUUCCUGUUUCCUCCUUCAGUGCUGUACUUACUUUCUUACUUCUUAUGUAGACACGCAUGUGUAUGUUAUGAGAACACAUAUGUGUAGGGAGCAGGACAAUGUCAGGUGCCUCUCAGGAAUGCUGUAUAUCCCCUUUGUGACAGUGCCCAUCAUUGACCCGAAGUUCUUUAGUGAAGUUAAAAUGGAGGCAGCAGGCCCUUCCUUCCCUACCUCACUACACUGGCUUCCACCCACGGUACGCAGCACUCAGCACGGCCAGCAUUCCACACACACUAGGGAGUGAUCUCUGGCCCUCCUGCUCACAAAGCAAGGGCUUUACUUGACCGAUCACUGUAAGCUCCUUUAUUUUAUUAUUUUUUAAGUUUUUGUAUCUUGUUUAUUGAGACAAGGGUUCACAGCCCACAUUGGCCUCAAACUGAAAUGUAGCCAUGGAUGACCCUAAAUCCUUCUGCCUCUACCUCUCAAAUCCUGAGAUUACAAGUGUGCACCCAAGCCUGGCUUUGACAAGCGUCUGUUUUUUCCUUCCAUUGUGUGGGGCCCAGCGAGCCACCUUGAGGGCACACUAUGGGCAUUCUGGAUAUGAAGAGGUUCUAGAAGCCAGGAGUUGAGUGCUGGGGCUCAAGACCAGUGGUUCUUGGGUGGAAACUUUACCUCCCAGGAGAUAUAUGGCAGUGUCUAUAGACGCUGGGUUCAAAUGUCACUGGUGUCUGGUAAGCAGAAUCCAAGGAUGUUGCUAAACAAUCUACAAUGAGCAUCAAAGAAUUAUGUGCCCCGAAUGCUAAUGUGGUGAGAAACUGCUCCAGAGGUAAUCUGUCUGGGCUUCACCUCACAGUCCGUGUGGCUUCUGGCAAUUUAAUUAUCUUCGUGCUUAUUGUUCUCAUCCCUAAACUACUUGAUCUGUUGUCAGAAUGAAGUAUGUGAGAAAAGGGCUAAGCCAGGUGUAUGCUGCGUGCCCAUAAUUCCAGUACUUGGGAGGUAGAGAAAGGAGGAUACAGAAUUCAUCUCUAGCUCCAGGUCUCACACACACACACACACACACACACACACACACACACACACACACACACACACAGAAAGAAAGAAGCCAAAAACAAUAUCUAGAAGAAAGCAAGAUCUCAACACAUAUCUGCUUUUAGUGAUACACAUUGAUAAAGAGUAAGAAAUACAUCAGGAUUUUAGAUGUUCUUGCUUAGUACUCUACUUUUUCCCAAUUUUCUAAAAAGUUAUGGAAUUUUGCCAACAUGUAUGCCUGUGCAUUACUUUCUUGCCUAGUUACUCUUGGAGUUCAGAAAAAGGCAUCAUAUCUCAUGAAACUGGAGUUACAGAUGGUUGUGAGCCACCAUGAGAGUGCUGGGAAUUGAACCUGGGUUCUGUGGAAGAGCAGGUAGUGCUCUCAACCACCAAGCCAACUCUACAGUCCCUAGUUUUCCAUUUUUAAAAAAAGAUUUAUUUAUUUAUUUAUUUGUUCAUUCAUUCCUUCAUUCAUUCAAUGUGUGAGAGUACACUGUUGCUGUCUUCAGACACACCAGAAGAGGGCAUGAGACUCCAUUACAGAUGCUUGUGAGCCACCAUGUGGUUGCUGGGAAUUGAACUCAGGACCUCUGGAAGAGGUGUCAGUGCUCUUAACCACUGAGCCAUCUCUCCAGCUCCUAGUUUUCCAAUGUUUGAGAACUACUUUUUAUUAGUCUAAUACAUAAAUACAUUCUUUUUAAAGCAGGGAAGAAAGAACAUUACUGGCAAUAUGCUAGGAUCCAAGGGAACUAGUUUAAUGCUGGCUACUAGUUGUGAUUUUAGACAGAUUAGUUAAUGUCUCUGAACUGUAGUUUCCUCAUUGGAAAAGGGCUGAUAAUGUGUAUCACAGAGUUGUAUGGAAAAGACUAAGUAUGACAGCUGCCAGGUGUCUGUGGGAGUCUUUUGCAUGAAAGGCUCCAGGAGAUGCCUCUUUAAAGUUUCUGUCAAGGGAAAGUAACUACAAACAGGAAAUAAAAUCAUGACAGUAACUCUCCUGCUCUUAACCUGUCCCCUAAGAGAACAUACUCCAUUUCAGCCCAGGUUUUGGCAUAGCUCAUAAAGGACACACCACCCAUACUUUGGCCCUUGGCUCCAUUGCUGCCCUUCUGAUGUAAACCCCCUCGGGAGAGAUGCAACUACACUCUGCAAGACGAAGCCCAGCCAUCACCCUCUCAGACUCUGCACCCAGGUGUGCUGUGCACUUCCUCACAGAUCUUCCAUGCCUACCUCCAAAUCAAAACCACAGUCAGGGGCUCUCCUCAAGGCAACGACUACUUUCUCUUCUGUCUUCUGUUCAUCAAGUUCAGUGGGUAAGAGGGCAGGUAAAAAGCCCAGCGGGGCGCCAGCCGUACUGCCCCGUGUACGUAGUCAGCAAGCUGCACAACUGCCCUUCCAACAGGCUGCUGCCUCUGCUGUGUGCCAAACCUAGCAAGUGACACUGGAGGAAAGGAGGCAGUGUGGUCACUUUACUCUUAAGCUCUGUCUUUCUGUCUUUAAUGAUUUAAUUAAAUAGAAAAUAAUACAGGCUGGAUUACGUAUCUGAUCCUGAGGGUGACUAGUUUAAUCGCAGUUAGCUUUCAAAUUUGCAUUCAAACACUAAGCAAGCUUUCAAACAUGUCCUGGCAGGGCUGGGAUGCCGCAUGCCAGUCCAUGGGAGGCCUGGGUUGGACCAUAAUGUUGCAGAGGGAAAAUGCCUUGAGACAGUUUUUCAUUUGGGUCCUGACAGCCACGUUUUGGGCUCAAGCUUGAGUUGACACUUAGGAUCUCAAGGGUCCCUAGGGAAAGGUCUAUUUGGAUCUGAGACUCUUUGGACAAUGUUCUGGGAAGUGGGUGCCAGACUAGAGAAAAGAGUGCAGGAGCAGAGGACUGGAGAUGCUCAUUCUCAGCCUGAUGUGAACUGUAAAGGCAGAAGUGCCAGACGGACAUUUGAGGAAAGGGAAAGACUGCUGGGGCUGCCCUGGUUCACCUCUCCACAGAAUACCAGGAGGACUUCAUCUUAGGUACAAAGGAAACUUCGAGGAGGAGCAGAGACCCGGGAAAGGAUUCAUGGAUACCACCAAAGGAUUCAUGGAUACCACCGAGCUCCGCUUCACAAUGGGUCUCACUAGCAUACAGAAACUCCAAGCAUAGUUUUGAUGGCUGCCAGGUUCUUCCUGCAUAUUUGCUGCUUCACUAAAACAUAUGCAAAUAAAACAGACUCAGAGCUGGGCAGGCCUGGAAUCCCAGGAUUGGGAAGGGGAGACAAAGAGGGAGAGUUCAAGGCCCGUGCCAGCUACACGGCGAGUUUAAAGUUAACUUAGGCUACAUAAAACCCUAUCUCAAAAACAAACUAACAAGAUAAACAAAUAAAACUGACAUAGGCCCCAGUACUGGCUGCAGUAGGAAUCUAAGUCUUGAGUCUUCCUGUGGUACAUUCCUAUGCGUCCUGAGAGCUUACCACUCACUAGUCCACAUUUCAGGUGAGCUGCCCCAGAGAAAUGUGUAUGUCACUGAGGACACACCUACUGUCCAAAGUGCUCUGCGACGAAUGACUAGGGGAAAUGGAAUGUUUGGAAGGAAAAGUUUGCAAAUCUUUCCACUUUAUAUUUUAGACCUAGCACCUCUUUCAAUUCUCCAUAGCCUGUAGGAAUGAAAUCGGGCAUCUUCUUCCUUCAAAGGUCAGAAGGAAACCCACACAGGAUCAAGGGGAAAGAUCCUUUACCUUUCUUUUUUUACGAGAAGUUCACUCUGUAGCCCAGGCUACCCUUGAACUCUUGGUGGUCCUCUUACUUCAACUACUCAGUCCUCACCUGGGACUGCUGGCAUUGUGCUACCAUUCAUGGUAAACAUAUCCUCAUAUCUCAGAGACUCCUGUGUGUGGGUAUGUGUUUGUGUGUGUUCACGCCUGUGCUGGUCAGAGGGAAAGUGUGACAAGCCCAGAGACCCUCCCGCCUCCGCCUCCCAGUGCUGAGGUUAUGGGUGCAUACAGCCAUACAUAAUUUUUACAAUUUCAGUGCUGAAUAUCCCGAUCCUCACACCUGCCAAACACUUUAUACACUGAGCCGUCUCCCAGGCCCCAGAAACUACUAACUUUAUCUAAAAGGAUUAGUAAAUCCUUUUACCUUUAAAAACCUAAAAUAAGGCUUGUUUGUAGUGACACACGCCUUUAAUCCCAGCACUCAGGAGACAGAGGCUCUCUGAGUUCGAGGCCAGCCUGGUCUAUAGGCAUGAGUUCCAGAACAGCCAGGGCCACACAGGGAAACCCUGACUCAAAAAAGCCCAAAACAACCAACCAACCAGACAAACAAACCAGAAAAACCCUAAAAUACUUUGCAAAGAAAUCUUUGUUUUAAAAGCAUAUUAUUUUAAAACAACACUCAGUCAGGCACUGUAGUUAAUAUGCCUAAUUUUUAAGUCUCUUUUCGAGGCUCACUCUGAAGCCCAGGCAGGUGACAUAUGUGGUGCUCUUCCUUUCCAGGGGCUGGGGCCGCAGGCAUGAGCCAUCACACCUGCUUGAUAAUAUUUCUAGGUUUGACUUUAGAAGUCCACCGUAACUUAAUUCCAGAUUUAUCUUUUUUUUUUCCUUUAGACAUCAGUGAUCACCAUAGUAACACCGUGCUUUACUACUAGAUAUCUAUGUAGCACAACAGGGAAAGAACAGGCAAUUACUUACUGGGUUAUUUGGGGUACAGAACAUGACUAUUGGGAUAAUUCAAAAUUAAAUAUAGAUUUCACUGGGGAUCUGUUUUAGCCAGGCAAGCUGACUCAAGCUACUAGUAGCGUCAGCUGAACAAAAUCUGUAGCCCAAUAGACUGUUGACAUCAUUUGAGAUAACCCAGGCAGGCAAGCCAUGCGGCUCAGGGGUUAACAACAAGGGCGUCAAGAGUCUUGGGAUUCAAUUCUUGUUCUAUUUUGUGCCAAGUUAACCUAGAAUAAUUGUUGAACUCUCUAAAUUACAAUCUGUAUGAUUUCUUACAUGCUUGGAAUGAUUGCCUGCACAUACCAAUAACUUUUUCAAGCACCUAUUAAAUGAAAUUAAAUGUGAAUUUGCUAGCUCUUCUCUUGAACCUGAGUAGAAAUACUUGAGGAAACCAAGAUGAGUGUAUGGCAGGCAGACUGUCGCCUUUCUGGUUGGCAGACUCCCGUGAGAGCCCCUCUAAGGCUUCCUUCGCAUGCGGGAUUCUGUGGCCGGCUGGUAUCCUGAAGCACAGCUUGAGAACAAGCACCGGUGCUCUUGGUAUUGGGGACUCAGAAGAAGGGAGAGCAAAAGCACAAAGGGACGGCAGGACUGCCCACUCAGGCUUCCUGAGCCACAGCCAGGAACCUCUGGGCACACGGCACAGAACAACAGCUCAAAGGGAUGAGGCAGGGUUUUCUCACAGCGACAACGAAAUCUAGCUCUUCCGAGUAAUGAUCCUCCCCCUUCCAGGAUUAGACAGGGAGAAACCCUUUCACUAAUGAGUUUAUGGCUUUAUUUCCAAUUACUAUACACAAUUUUCAACCAAUUGUCUUCCUCCAUAGGAGCUUACUCUGGAGAAGUAUUUCUCUUACAGAACUACCUAUACAUCUUUUCUAGACCUGUAACAAAUCUAACACCUCUAACAAGCAUCUAAGCCAGGGCAAAAAUCUCCAAAUUUCCUAGAAUAAAAAAUAGGAGAAAGGGACGGUGUUGUCCCUCUGAGCCACGUUUCAGCUGAGAUAGGGGCUUGAGCACAUACCUUCAUGGGGACUUGAUUUCAGGGACAGGAUCCGUGGGUCUUCUUGGUCAGGAGCAGCUCCCACACAGGACUUUGGAGGAUGCCAUAAGCCACUGGGAAACCUUCGGAACACAGUCAUAUCUCUCCUCUGCCUUCCCCCAGCCCUCCGCCUGCUUCCUGGUAGAGGAUGACGCUGUGAAGGUUCACUGCUAAACCAUCUUCCCACCCCCAGCCCCACUCCCUCAGUGCCCCUCCCUUCUCCUUUCCAAGGCUCUGGAAUGUGUCACAUGGGAAACAGAUCAUGUGGCUUGUGGGGGAAAUGUGGCCAUCUUCUCUCUCCCUUCCCCCACUCCUCUUUUCAGGAGCAAAGCAGCAGAAAUCUCUGACCUGAUUGGCUCUGAUCUGAAAAUCUCCAUAUGAAAAGGGAAAGAUUCAGCCGCACAGACCUCCGGCUUUCCUCACUUUCUUUUUCCAAUCUGGUAAUUUUAUCCUGCGCUUUCAGAAUUGCUUCAUAGGGGAAGAAAACCGUGCCUUCUUUCCAAUUCCUCAACCUCUUUCUAUUAUCAGCAUCCGGAUGUGACAAUGUGUUCCUUAAUCUAUCUUGGGGGCACUCUUAGAGCACAUCUGGUCGAUGGAGAGUUCAGCACCACGGACAGCAUUGCGGUCCUUAAAGCCAUUUGUCUAUUUCAGGUAAAUAAAAAUAUUUGUUAAAGUUUUCCCUUGAUCGUGUAUCUAAAUAUAAACCACCCCAUAUAUUUAGGGCCCUAACUUUCUCUACUAUCACCUUACUAUACUUAGGAGGACAAAUGGGUUUUUAUUUCACUCAAUCUGCAUCUGCUUUCUAGCCCCUCUCCUGCAACCUGUUGUUACCCCUUAAAAUAUACUCUUAGGUUUUUCUUUUUAGCGAGUGGAGGCUCAAGACAUAGUUUACUAUAUAUUCCUAUAUCUCUGUCUAUGGGAAAAUCCCCACCAACACAUAGGAAUGCUAGGGUGAACAAGCCUAGACGUUUUUUAGCUCUAUCUGUGGGCCUCAGGCAGAGCUGAAUUGGAGCAGGAUAGAAGCCUAGUUGCAGCUGUUUUGUGUGGGUCUAUCCUGUUUUGCUGACGUCCUGGUUGCCAUGGUGCUAGGUAACUGCUGAAGGGGACUAUUGCUUUCAAAAUCCAUCACCAUGGGACCCUGCUGACUAAAGAAAAGGGGAAAGAACUGAAUUGUUGCAGAGGAUUUCAGUUAGCAUUUGCAAAACCAGACCUACCUUGCAGACUUCUUCCUGACUGGACUGCUGUGACCCUACACACUGCUACGAUUCCAUAUUGAGACUAAGACAGGAAGUCCUCCCAUCCCCCCUUGCUUCUUUCCUUAAAAAUCUAUUUGGACUGAAUGAAGACACCAGCUCUGUAGAGCAUGUGCUAUGUAGAGCAUGUGCUGUGUAGAGCAUGUGCUGUGUAGAGCAUGUGUGGACUACUUCCACAGAGCGGUGGGACGAACACACAAGAGGCACUUCUCUUUGAGACUCGAUGUCUGCCUUCCAGAAGUCACUCACGCGGCUCCUAAUAGCACAUUGCAGAUAUCUAAGAAACAUAACUGAAUGCUGACCACAAGAACCACCUUGCAAAUGUUUUGCCAUAUUAUAGGAAAAAUAAAAAAUUUAUUUGUAUACAGACUGGUAAAUUUAUUUUUUAAACAUAAAUUCGGGUAAUAGUUGGAGGACAUUUGGACUACCCCAAAUCAGGGAUUUAAAGUGGCUUAGUUCAGUGUGUAAAAGCCUUUCCUGACAAUCAAGUUCAUUCCCAGGAUCAACAAGCAGAACCAACUGCAGAGUUGCCAGAGGCUGAUGAUGAAUCUCUCCGUGUUUUCUGGAACUCACUGAUCUGGCUACCCGGGCAGCUCCAGCUUUUGCCUUGAGUGCUAGGGAUCCAAAUUCAUCCUCACGCUCUCAUGAUGACCAAGCCACCUCACUAACCCUCCAGUUUCUACUCUUAGUUUAUGAAAGGGGGAAGGUUAGUUUAUUUAUUUAUUUUUUUGUUGUUGUUGUUCUUUUUUUUCCGGAGCUGGGGACCGAACCCAGGGCCUUGCGCUUCCUAGGCAAGCGCUCACCACUGAGCUAAAUCCCCAACCCCUAGUUUAUUUUUAAUGUAAGACUCAGAAUAGUCUUGCUAUGUAGCCCAGGCUAGCCUCCAACUAAUGAUAAUUCUGCCCUUGUCUCUCAGUACAGGGUUUGCAGGUAUAUUCCCCAUAUCCAGUUUAAAACUCAGCUCUUAAUUUUAACAUUUGCCACAUUUAGGAAAUUACCAUAAGCUGAGUAAGUAGUAUCUACUUGCUUAGUGUUGUUUGUAUUACACAGUCCUUAAACUCAUUCACCACUUAGAAACCCUUUAAGGACCAAACAAAGGAAGCGAAUGGUUUAAAAAAGUGAGUAACUAAUCCUGUUGCUACAGGAACAACCCUGUAUAUAUGUAUGUGUACUCAAAGAUAUUCAUAGACACAGUCAGUGCAAUCAAUUUUAAAAUUAAUAAUAAAAAGGAUCUUCCCAAUUGCUUCAAACAUUACCUGAAAGAGAACCACUAUGAAAGUGUCCCUGGGGAAUUCAUUAAAAUGCUUUUCUUUCUCUUUUAACUCCUCUGUCUCAAGUGUUCAAUGCUUUAGGCUUGAAAGUUUGUCUUGUCCACCCUAAAACCAGACUAGUCUCUCAAACCGUCGUUUUGGUCUUUAAGACAAUCUCCCUGUUGCUGUGUCUCAUCCACGUCCCACCUAUCAUGGUUAAGAGUCAGUUUGACUGGACUAAGAAACCUCUCAGAACUGGGGCGAUGUCUCCUUGGGUAAAGUACCAGCCUUACAAUCAUGAGGGCCAGAGUUCAGAUCCCCAACACUCAUUUAAAAACUGGGCACAGAAGCAAGAAUCUGUAAUCCCAGUGCUGGGAAGGCAGGAUCCCAGAUCCCUGGACCUCACUGGCCAGUCAGCCCAGCUAAUCUGGUGAGCUAUAGAUGAGACGCUAUCUAAAAGAAUCCAAUAUGUGAGCAUCUAAUAUGUGCAUAGACCAUGCAUGCAGGCACGCACGCACACGCUCACACACACAGCUGAGCUCCAACAUUCACCUCUCUGCUUCCUGAAUGUAGACCAAAUGUGACUGCCUCAAGUUCACACUCAUGCCUUUUUCUCCAGGCUAAACUGCAUCCUUCAAACCUUGGCCAAAGUAAACCCUUCCUUCUUCAAAGUACUUAUUUUUUUUUUUUUAAGAUUUAUUCAUUUAUUAUAUAUAAGUACACUGUAGCUGUCUUCAGACACACCAGAAGAGGGCAUCAGAUCCCAUUACAGAUGGUUGUGAGCCACCAUGUGGUUGCUGGGAAUUGAACUCAGGACCUCUGGAAGAGCAGUUGGUGCUCUUAACUGCUGAGCCACGUCUCCAGCCCUUUGUCUUGUUUUGACUUGGUUUCUGACACAGGAUCUCAUGUAGCCCAGGCUAGCCUUGAGAGCUCACUAUGCAAGUCUGGAAUGACCUGAAUCAUCAGCGAUGGGGACUGAACCCAUGCCUUCAUGCAUGCUAGUUACACACUCUCUCAGCUGAGCUACAUCAUUCCAGCCCCUUUUAAAGUUCUUGUAACUUUAAAAAAAAGUUCAACCUGCUUCUUUCUUUACCCUAGCUCUGCUAUCUUUCUACUCAACUCUGCAGAAUACGUUCUUCAACCACUUUAUAAUUCUAGUGCCUACCUCUGCUGUGGACUCUGCCUCUUACCCCUUAGCCAUUUUAUCAAUAUUCUUGCUACAAGUGAGACACACUAAAGCCUUUAUCUUUUCCCUAAACCCACUUUAGCAAUAUCCCUCUGAAGAACUUUCCCUUUUGUUCUUAGUCUUGAGUGCUGGGAGUUCCUGACGCUACCUACACUUAUUAGAUUAUCACAAACUGGUGGUUUCUAAUCUCAGCUGGGUCAACUGUGGUUAGAGGGAAUCUUUUGUUCAUAGGUCAUUAGCUGCCAUCCCGCCCAGGAUGACACUACAUUUGGUAUAGGAAGCUGCAACUCCAAUGACGGCUGGUACAAAAUAGCCUCACUCUUUAUGGUACCAACCCCCAAAUACUUUCUGUAGAAAAAGCAUAAUACAUUACCAAAAGUCCAAGGAAGAUACUCUAUUUCUUUUCUUUCUUCUUUUUUUUUGGGGGGGGAGAGAUGGGAGUGGGGGUUAGACAGGUGUCCCCUCUGGUCUCCAGGAACUCACUCUGUAGACCAGGCUGGCCUCAAAUUCAUAGAGAUCUCCUUGCCUUUGCCUCCCAAGUGCUGGGAUUAAAGGCAUGUGCUACCACUACUCAGCCCUAGAAUCCUAUUUCUUACAUCCCCCUAUAAAUUAUUCCCUCAGAUGAUGGGAUGAGAUGAGAGCUGUACACAUGCUGUGCAAAUAUACAGUUUGGGCUGAACCCAGAGAGUUUCUUUUUCUGUUCUAACUAUCCCUAGGCCUAGGCCUGGGUGCUUCUAGCUCUGUACAAUAGAAUCUUCCAAGGUGCCCAAUUCAAUCCAGCUUCUCUGGCUUCUGACUGAAUUGCUCUACUUGGCCACAUUCUAACUUUGGCAAUCUGUUCUAAUCUUCUGGCUCCUUCUCAUUCUCUAGCUCAUUCUGUCCUCACCUGUAUCUAGCUUGUUCUUUCACAACUUGCCUCUGUAAAACUGUCUGGACAUAAAACUGCCAUCUCCUCACCUCUCCUCUCUCUGCUCUUAAGUAGCCUCUCUUUCUUGUGCUGUUCUCAUGUGAGCUGGAUGUAUCUAUCUAUGAAUCAUUCUGUCAAAUCUUUCUUUGAUUCAUCACUCUGUCUGCUGUGCUAUGAAAUGUCACUUUCAGAUAUGGCUGCGUUCCUUCAUGGCUAGGGAUUAAAGGUGUAUACUAAGAGCAUGUCUAUAUUCCAGCCAGAUCAUACUGUAAUCCAGAGACCGCUGGCAUUCCAGGUGGAUCAUAUAGACCUAGAAGGUCUUUGGACAUGAUCCCUUACCAAAGUAACCAUGUUGCUGGGUAAAUUCCUCUACACUCCCUAAAGAAGCAGAGAGAUAGACUGGACACCCUUAUAUGAAGGACCAGAACUUCAUAGUGGCAUAGUAUGAAACUUUGGAAAAGUUCCAAAAGACAUUUUUUUCACAUCUACAAAGAAAACACAAACCUAGCAAUUUUUGUUAAUUGAGAGUGGCAGGUGGUGGAAUGCAGGGCUUUAUGAAUAGUAAGCAUGUGCUUUACCCCAUAGGCUAUAACCCCAUACCCCCUAACUACAUUUUCUCCCAAUUAGGCCUCUCUUUCUUUCUUUCUUUUUUUUUUUUUUUUUUUGGUUCUUUUUUUCCGGAACUGGGGACCGAACCCAGGGCCUUGCACUUCCUAGGUAAGCGCUCUCCCACUGAGCUAAAUCCCCAGCCCCUAGGCCUCUCUUUCUUGUUUUGCCGCCUAUUCGACAGCACUGGUGGUCUCCAGCAGAUGAAAAGUCAGUCAUGAACCUCAAGCAUCAUUUGUCUUUGGCUCAUUCAAAGUCAUAAAAGUCAUCUGCAAAGGGUGGUGAGUCGGCUGCCUGAGGAGAAGGCUUGCCCACAAGCCUGACAACUUGAGUCUGAUCUCUGGAACCUACACAAAGGGGAAAGAGAAAAGUGACUCCAGACAGUUGUCUUCUGGCCCCCAACCCAUCCACACAGACACAUUAAUGUCAAGUUUAAAGACAGAGACCAAUCUUUCAUGCAUUCCUACCUGUCCCACAAGGACUAUCUUUCACAUGUAUGUUUGAGUCCCUAAAAAGGGGGCCCCACUCAAAGACAGUGUCCAGGGCUGCAGAACAUUUGCUGCUCUUCCAGAGGAACUGAGUUUAGUUCUCAACACCCAAAUCACGAGUGCUAGUAAUUCCAAAUACAGACAGAAUAAAGCACCUGUGAUCUUUGAGGGUACCUGCAGUCACAUGCACAUAGACAUAUAGAAACACACACAAAAUUAAAAAUUUUUAAAAAAUGCAUCCCACAUGGCAAAAGAUAUUCUUGGCCAUAACUACAUUUUGGGCAUAGUGUCCAACAACGGUGUUUUCAACUUGUGAAUCACUACAAGUCAGAGCUGUGGUACAAGCAAACGGUUUGUGUCUAAGAAGGUAAAGUUACUGGAGCUGGGGCAUGCAGCUUGAUUCGAACAGUGCCUGCACAGUGCCUUCCAAUCUGCCUAGCACGUACGUACACAACCCUAGGUUAGAACUCCAGAACUUCACAAAAUGUGUGUGAUGGCACAUAUCUAUAAUCCCAGCACUUGGGCGGUGAAGGUAGGUGAGACAGUUGCUCUGAGGCUAGCCUGGAAUACAUGGGAUCUUGUAUCACACAAGAGGGAAAAAAAAAAGGGAGCAAUUUCUCUCCCAGAAAUUCCCCAUCCCCAAGUGAUUUUGCUUUCACUAAAAGGCUAUGAAGAUAGACUUCAACCCUAUUUUUUCCAUCUGUCAGUAACAACAAAAUCAUCAGUGUGGUCAGAUCAGUCUCAUACCUUUGAUUGGCUUUGGGAAGCCUUCAUAAUCAAUGCCUGCUUUAAAAAAAAAAAAAAAGGCAUUCCCACCUGCCCUCCCAGGAGAGAAGACACCCAUAUGCAAACACUUUAAUCAUGCCUUCCCCAGUCAAUGGAGCAGAACAGCUCCAGGUGCCAAAGAAACCAAGAUAUCUUUUUGUCGCUUGAGCUAGAUCAAAGGGCCAAUUUGAGAGGUUCAACGUCUUCCAUACAGAAUUCAGUGUGUUCCUGGCAUCCACAGUAAUGACAACAUUUACUGCUCCCAAGUUAGGAUGCUUAUUUCAGUGCCUCCCCUCCAGAGUAUCUGUCACUGUGCCCAACUCAUCUCAAGCCCUUCCCUUUAUUCCUCCAGAAUCUCUUCAAAUAUGUAACUAUGCAGAUCAGGAGGGCAUAAGCCAUAGAUCUAGUUUCUUUUCAUUUUCUACAGAAAUUUUUUUUUUUUUGGUUCUUUUUUUCGGAGCUGGGGACCGAACCAGGGCCUUGCACUUCCUAGGUAAGUGCUCUACCACUGAGCUAAAUCCCCAGCCCCUAUAGAAAUUCUUUAAGCAGUAGUUUUCAACCUUAGUAGUAGUAGUAGUACUAGUAAUAAUAAUAAUAAUAAUAAUAAUAAUAAUAAUAAUAACAACAACAGUUUAAAAAAUACCGAUGGGGUGGGUAUGAUAACGCACACCUUUAAUUUCAGCACAGACACAUCAAUAAUAAUUAAAGUUCAAGGAAAGAACAUCCUAAGGCAGAGACCAAUCUCUCAUGCAUUACUUCCUGUCCCACAAGAGCUAUCUUUCAAAUGCAUGCUUGAUUCCUUACAAAACAGGACCCACUGAAAGGUAAGUGUCCAGGGCGCAGGAUGACAGAUGCUGGCAAGAGAAUCUUUAUGACUCUGCCAGUUCUUGGUCAGCCUGGUCUACUUAGAGACCCUGUCUCAACAAACAAACACCUGAUGAGCCAAAGGGAUGGCUCUACAGGUAAAGGCGUUCUCUGCUUCACAAAGCAAGCCCAAGAGGCUGAAUUCAUCUGUCCUAGAACCACACGGAGACUCAACACCAUCUGUAACUCAGGAGACCCUCUUCUGGCCUCUCAGAGCACCAGGAACACAAGUGGUACACAGACAUAUAAUAGAAGCAAAAACACCACAGAGGAAAAAUAAGUUAUUUUUUAAAAAGGUAUUCUCAUCCUUAUUCUUCUUUUACUUUAAUCCUUACUUUAUAAAUAUGGAAAAUGAGGCUCUAAGAUGGUACAUGGUACGGCUGGUUGAUCCAAAGUCAGGCCUCAGGGUUCUGAUCCCCAAUUCAAAACAGUUCCUAUGAUAUUACACUUAGAUGACGGAUGAUCCCAAUCCCCAAAACCAAAUAUUUAGAUGUCAACCCAGAGAUCCUAUUCUAUUAUAUUCAUAAGUUUUCCCCGCAUCUUCCUGUGAAUUCAGCACAUACAGCCAACAUAACAAUACAAUCUGCCAAAAUGCAGUGCUGUAGAGAGAACUUGCUGAGAGGAUCUACCAUAUCUUCUGUCUUCCCUUGUUCCUUCCCCGCUCCCUUCCUUUCUCCAUCCCACUGCACCCCUGCUCCUAGCCCCUAGGCUAGGUCCCAGCUAGGUUCAAGCCGCCCUCCUGGCUCGUCCUAGGUAGCUGGAACUAUAGAUGUAUGUAUGACUCUAUACCUGGUUUCCAAGGACUUUCCUCUAAACAUUAAUAAUUGGACCCUUCUCCAUCGCUGCCAGCUUUAAUCUGAAGACAUUCCAGUCUUUGUUUUCUUACAGAGGAAGCUGUAUUGCUUACCUAUCAGCUACUCCCUUGUCGGGGCUGGUCAAAUAUAAAUCCCACCACUCUUCCUAUAUUCUCUUUAUAGAGCACACAAAGGAUCAAAAUAUAAUCAGAGGGGUUGGGGAUUUAGCUCAGUGGUAGAGCGCUUGCCUAGCAAGUGCAAGGCCCAGGGUUCGGUCCCCAGCUCCAAAAAAAAAGAAAAAAGAAAAAUAUAUAUAUAUAAUCAGAAGGGUACCCAACACACACUUGGAGUGUCAGCUAUUCAGGAAGUUGAGGUAAGAGGCCUUGUCUGAAUCUGGAUAUUUUUUAGUCCAUUUAGGCCAGUCUGAUUGAUAGUGAGGUAACUCGCACAGAGAGAGAGAGAAAUAAGAGUCAACACCCCACCCCCGAAUCCUUGGGUUCCACAUGCUCAGAUUCAGCCAAAAGCAGAUACAAAAACAGAGAAGAAAAAUUUUCAUCUGUACUGAAUGCUUUUCUUGUCACUAUUCCCUAUCCCUAUACAGUACAGGAGCUAUUUACAGAGUAUUUACAUCGAUUUACAUGUCACAAACAAUUGAGAGAUUGGUCAAACCUUACAGAAACCUUACAAGGGCUAUAUGCAAAUAGUAUACCUUAUUACGCAGGGGACUUGAGCAUCAUGGAUUUCGGUACCUCACUGGGGAUAAGGAAAAUGACAAUACCGACUGUACUGUACAGCGCUGCUCCCAAUAUUAGAGUGGAUUCUAAGAUCACCACAACUGGACGACUAUAGGUUAGAAAUACAUAAUCUUGUAGUAAGCCAGUGAGUGUCUCAUCUGAGUGACUUGUUAGCCAAAUUCCCAUUCUGGCUGAAACGUGAGGUUGGUGGCAGAUGCCAAGCAUACUAUUGAGAAGAGGACACUUCGGGUGCCGGAUGGUACCUUUGAGACGUAACAGGGCAAAUAUCCAGUUUGUGCAGGUGUUCCAUGUCCCCUGGGAGAGAAAAAGAGGCCAGAUCAGUCAGACCUGUCCACACUUGCAACAUUCUAAGACUCCAGAUUAUUAUCUGUUUUACCCAGUCCCAACCUCAGCUCUUGCUCAUGAAAACUUUUUAAAAUGUGUCUGUUCCACUCAAAGGCAUCCCCAUUUUACUUCUCUGUCAUAAACUAAAUAUGUGGCAGUGCCUCGUACUUGCUUAUAAAUAUGCAUAAAUGUUUUAAGCUGAGCUCCCACCACUACUAUACUUCCUUCUAGCCUCGUCUCUCGAGCAUGUGGUACUGUCUUCAUUGACCUCUUCCAUUUUUAAAAUUUCUCAUCUUCAUCCCCCUGUAUUAACCCGGUCCACGUUCACAGCCUCUCCGAGUCUUCGAGAAAAAUAAAAAAUGCGUUCGCCCCACAGAUUUAUCCUUUUAUGCCGCUCGCAGUUAGUUAUAGGUACACACAACUAAAACUCAACAUUUUUUUAAACAGUGAUGGGCUCUCUCCCACUGACUCUUUGACUGACUGAAACCUCAUGACCCACAUACGAAGAGAAAAGAGGGACGAGUUACAUUCAGGUGGAAUUUCGACCGAAAAUCCCUAAGGACGUGACGCUGUGGGCGUGAAUCCCCGGCUCCAAACUGACAGACAUGUCUCAGAGGCCGAGCGGGGCCACCUGUGACCAAGCAGGAAGUUUUGAAAGGUUUGCGCGCCAAAAAAUCCCAACGCAUGCGCACACAAUCACGGGGAGGGGGGGCGAGGGGUGGGGUCACGUCCUGGCACCGGAUCUCGCGUUGUCUGGGGAAAGCGAUGAGGUUUUUAGUGUGGCGUCGUGGGACCCGCCCACCACCUCUCCUUUAAAUCUUCUUUUUUUGUCUUUUCUUUUCCCCCCUCAGCCUCAGCGUUGUCCGUAAACGAAAGAGCUCAAGGCCGACCGUUCUGUGGAAGAGUUUUGGCUGCCAUGAUCGCGCAGCUGGCACCUCAGAAAGAGUGAGAGUAGCAGAAGCCAGAGUCCGUCGCCUUAAGAUACUGGGGUUUGCUUUGGCGUCUCCCCCACCCCCCCCUUUUUUUUUUUUUACGAUGCAAAACAAAAGAAAAAAAAAAAAACUUGGCCCAUGGCGCCUGCGCAGUGCUUGUUUACCGCGGGGCCAGCGCCGGCCUCCUCCUCCCAGAGCCUGCGCUUGCGCCUGCGCCUGCGCCUGCGCCUGCACGGGUGACGUGGAUUUCUCCGAGAAAACCGCGCCUGCUGGUCCCAGGACUAGAGAGUGAGCAGCAGAGUGUGCAGUGGAAAUCUUGGAGAAGUGAAAUGAAAACAACAACGCCCCGAAGUCGGUGUCGCGUCAGAGUCGAGAGCACAAAUGACCCAGGUGCUGUGCGCCCCACCAUCGCUAAAGUGAGCAGCGGAGCGGGGCGUGAGAGCGAAGACCCGAGGCGCUGACGCCUAAUUAAAGGAUGGACUUUGUUUAGCAAAGAUGCAAAUAAGUCUGACCCUCAGGCCGCCGAGUUCGAGCAAUUUCUGCCUGGUCUAAGACUGGUUCUUGAAGCAAACUCAGAAAGGGCUGCCAUGCAAAUUUUGAAACUAGAAAGAGCUGACACUAGAAGCAAUAACCCUUUAAAGCAGAAGACUAUAUGCCAGUUUUUAAGAGUUUGCAUGUCCCUUCAAAGUUCUCUGCGAGUAGACGCGACAGUGCUUAUAAAAUACUAUCCGAUAAGCACUUUUGAUUUACAUUAUUUUAGAUAGGACUAUCCGUUUGCAAUAAGAGGCAAGCUGAUUUGUUUUGUGAAGAGUUUUCUAUUGAUACGUUCCAGUAUGCUCAAAAAACAACUAACUGGAAGCUCAGCUAAGCCUGGAUAUUUUUCUAGUUUUAAAAACAAUUUUUUUUUUUACAAUUUUAUAAGGCCCUCGUUUUAUGACUGGUGAGUUCGAAGUCUAUAAAUUUGUAACAUACCAGAAAAGUGAGAUUCUAAUCAGUAAGAAGAUGGAAAUAUGUGUAUGCGAACAGAAGAGGUUAGAUUUUGAAGGCUUUUCAUGCUUUCAACAUUAGUCUCAAGAGAAGCUAUCAUCUUACCUCUGAUUUUUUUAUGUUCAAUAUGAUAGUAAAAUUUAGCAUAAUAUUUUGAACAAUUUUCCUGUACAAUCUGGGUAUGGUGGUACAUUUAAAUAAAAAAAAAAAGGAGGA